AACCUCCGCAAUGUGAGAAAUCGCGACGGGGGGAUCCCAAGUGCCAUUCUUAACGGGAUGGCUUUUCAUUAGUGUAAAGAGCUUUUGGAAUAAGAGCUGGGCAAGACCGGUGCCAGCCGCCGCGGUAACACCGGCAGCUCUAGUGGUAACAAUUUUUAUUGGGCCUAAAGCGUCCGUAGCCGGUUUAAUAAGUCUCUGGUGAAAUCCUGUAGCUUAACUGUGGGAAUUGCUGGAGAUACUAUUAGACUUGAGACCGGGAGAGGUUAGAGGUACUCCCAGGGUAGAGGUGAAAUUCUGUAAUCCUGGGAGGACCGCCUGUUGCGAAGGCGUCUAACUGGAACGGUUCUGACGGUGAGGGACGAAAGUUAGGGGCGCGAACCGGAUUAGAUACCCGGGUAGUCCUAACUGUAAACGAUGCGGACUUGGUGUUGGGGUGGCUUUGAGCUGCUCCAGUGCCGAAGGGAAGCUGUUAAGUCCGCCGCCUGGGAAGUACGGUCACAAAACUGAAACUUAAAGGAAGU
rnacentral:rRNA from 1 species